UUGCGCUGGAGUUUGAGGUAUAGUAGCGGCGCCUGGUGGCGGCGCUACUGGGUCGUACCAGCUUGGGUUGUAUUGAGCCCUGGCUGUGGCGAAGGACGUUUCUAGGCCGAGUUUUGCGUCGAUUCGCACUUAUUUCUGCCCUGUUGCGAGUGCGAAAAGGCUCGUCACUUCUCGCAGACCAUGUCAACCACGCUGCGAGCUCGCCGCAGCCUAUAGUUUAACGAAAACGGGCUCUCUGUGUGCCGUGGGACGCAAUGCUGGGAGCAGACGGAAUCGGUAGCGCCGAUCCGGAGACCUAGCCCAGCCUCGAGAAGGCGUCACCGUCAUUACUUCUGCGUCGUGGGAUGCCAUGAACAAGAAGGCCUGAAUCCCAACAUCAUAUUCUGCCGUUUUCCUUCAAGGCCUCACGAAGUGGAGCGUCGGGCGCGCUGCAUAGCUGCAGUUCGUCGCGCUGAAUGGCUUAUGUGAUCGCUGAGUUCGUUGAGGACAAACAGGUGGAGGUGGUGCCAGUGACCUGGGUGGAGGGUGACAAGUGUGCGUGGCCCGACAACCUCAAAGGCAACAGAGUGACAUCCUUAGUAAAGAAAUCUGUACCACCAGACACCUUCUGGAAGUGCUACAGCGUAGCAGUGAAAGGGGUAUUUGCAACAUAUGAACAAGCAAGGGCCAAACUUAAUGACAGCCAGUAUACAUCAGACCUGGGCACAGGAUCGGAAAUGUCUCAAGGAAAAAGGACAAGGAGGCCACCAGCUCAGUGGUCUGACUCGGAUGAGCCUGACACACCACUGCCACCCAAGAAGGCCAAGCAAAGCUCCAGCAAGCAAAUUCCAGCUCCACCAAGCAACU